CUCUAAGUGCGGCACAGCGAGCGAGCGCGAACAUGCAACACGACUAGUAUGCUCUCGAGCUCGGUAAUGCGCACAUCAUGGACGAGAGUGGGCGCGCAAGGCACAGGCAAAGGCACAGGCACAGGCAAAGGCAGCAGGCGACAGGCGACCGACCCCAGUCGGCGGGCGGGCGCACGGAACAGGUUGCCUGGCGGCAGGGUGGGAUGGAUGUGGUGCCGUCUUCAACUUCGUCUUCGUCUUCGAUUGUGGACUGACAACAGGAGGAAGUGAUAGAUAUCGUAUGUAGCAUGCGAAUCGAAAAGUGCGUGCCCCUGAUUGGGCCAAGGCCCCAAGGCCCUCAGGUCUCUGCCAUUAGGUUCUCGACAUGUUUACCUACCAGCGACUGACGGCUUCAAGCAUUCACCUUUGUCCAAGCCACUGCCCGUUGCCCGCUGCUGCCCGCUGCUGCCACAAAGUGCCAAACGUCCCAGCGGCGGUGCUGUGGCAUAACGCUUCGACCUCCCUCGUGUACGAGUAUGUGGAAGCAUUACAAGUGACCCGUCAGCAUGGACUUUGCACCCCGGCCACCCCGCACCCAGCACAACUGCCACGAAGAAGACUGUUUACAGUCGCGUCUUGAAUAUUGUCAGGAUGCUUUAAGGACACGAACCGCUUGCAUUUGCUACAGGGCAUCAAAGAGGACAUCGCCGACAGCCCACAAGGGAUACAGUUGUUAACGUAUACAAGGGGUAGGCGUCGACGACGACGACGACGACGCAAACACAAACAUGGCAACCGAGCAACGGGAAGGGUUCGCCUACUCCGCCUCCGCCUCCGCUCGACUGCAGUUGAAGGAAAAGCAAGGAAAGGAGCACUUUAUGUGCAUAUAAUAUCUGAAUGUUCGCCGCACCACAUACGACCCAGAGGCAGAGCCAUAGCCAUGGCCAUAGAGCCAGAGCCAGACACAUGUAUACGUAGGACACAGUGUCAUCCAAGUUGCGGGGAAUUGUUAAUAUUGUCUGUGCGCCUGUAAGCAGCAUUUACAUGCUGGCCGACACCACGUACUACUAGGACGUCGAAGUCCUGGCUGAUAGAAGAGCUCUCAUGUGUGGCCUCUGGAAGCCUUCACUGACGGCACAGCACAGCACGGCACUCGGCUUUAAGUAGGCGCACUCUCAGGCAACAGACUUUGUUUUAACAACAAAAAAAAGAAGAUAAAUCUACAGACAUGCAUAUAUUUCGCAGAUGCUGAAUCAACUUAUGAAGCUGGCCGGCGCUUUCAUUAGAUGCAACAAAAAGGAUGAAUCUAGUGCAGAACUUUGCCUGGAUGUGGAAAAGCCAAAAGGCCGAUGCGUUCUUAAUUCCAACAUUAAGACAAAAAUGGAAA